GAUGUGUUACAUCGCUUAUAAUGAUUGGAAAAUCUGUUUGUACUUCAUGUCAGAAACAGUGCGAGCUCUUGGAGUACAUCUGUACAUCAGAAAUAUACCGGGGCAUCACAUUACUGUCCGCAUCCACUGUAGAUAGUAUAUAUAAUGGGUUCUAUAUUGUUUUUUUAUCGAGUCGCGCCUCGCCUCGCCGUGCCACUCGCGUCCGAGGAAGACACGGAAGCAGCGGGGCAGCGGGGAUGAACCCGAGAGAGUGGAAGAGCUCCGGAGAACAUCUACGCGGUGUGUCGAUGCACCUUACGAGAGAAUAAGACCAGCAAGCAAGGCAACUGCAAUGAAGCAUCAAGAAAGACAUGAGCAGGCCAGCCACCCUGAGACUGAUAAUUCAUGAGAAAACAUUUCUGUCACUAUAAAGUGGAGGGUGAGCAAAGGUGGUGGCCACGUUUUGGAGCAGCAUCUGGGUUUUGCAGAUGGCUAUGUAUUCUUUGGCUGUUUGUCUUUUUCCUCAUUAUGUUUCUGUUGCCUAAAGAUUCUUUGUGAGGAUGAAUCCAGAGGACACAACAUAACGCACUGCAAAACAUCCUAAGA